rnacentral:rRNA from 1 species
UACAGAGGGGGCAAGCGUUGUCCGGAAUUAUUGGGCGUAAAGAGCGCGUAGGCGGUCCGAUAAGUCGGCUGUGAAAGUCAGGGGCUCAACCCUUGGAAGCCGGCCGAUACUGUCGGACUAGAGUCCGGAAGAGGCGAGUGGAAUUCCCGGUGUAGCGGUGAAAUGCGCAGAUAUCGGGAGGAACACCAAUGGCGAAGGCAGCUCGCUGGGACGGUACUGACGCUGAGGCGCGAAGCGUGGGGAGCAAACAGG